GAAGCCCUGCAUGCCCGCUCACCCGGGACGCGGCGGACGGCUCAGGACGACGGUUGCACCCCCCGCGGCGGUCCCUGCUAGCCGGACACCGCUGGCAACCCGGCGCCAAGACGUGCGCGCAAGGGC
rnacentral:rRNA from 1 species